rnacentral:rRNA from 1 species
UACGGAGGGGGCUAGCGUUGUUCGGAAUUACUGGGCGUAAAGCGCACGUAGGCGGACUGGAAAGUCAGAGGUGAAAUCCCAGGGCUCAACCUUGGAACUGCCCUUGAAACUAUCAGUCUGGGGUUCGAGAGAGGUGAGUGGAAUUCCGAGUGUAGAGGUGAAAUUCGUAGAUAUUCGGAGGAACACCAGUGGCGAAGGCGGCUCACUGGCUCGAUACUGACGCUGAGGUGCGAAAGCGUGGGGAGCAAAC